GGUGAGGUCUAUCCCGAUAGGAUCUCUGCUGUAGGUUCAUGUCGUUGGAAACGCCUCACAGAACAAACUUGUGGUUUAGUUUUACCCACUGAACUACCUGUUAGCUCUGUGGGAUAAAACUACAAGACAAAC
ensembl:snoRNA